AAAAAUAUGUUCAAACAAAAUAUCUCCAACUGCAUGCCAGAGUAACAAUGGAGAGACUUUGACAGCCCAGGUCAUCAUAGUGCCUGCAGCUGCCACUCAGCUUUCCUAUAUAU